UGCAAUGGUGAGACAGUUUCCUGUAAGUGGCCCAGUUGCUAUGGCAGACAUGCUGGAUCCCUACACCUUUGAUGCCCCUUCUACAUACAUUAACUUUAGUUCUUUCCAUGAGGAUCACAAUGCUGACUCCUGGUUAGACAGAGUGACCAAUGCACUUAAUACUCCCCCAAACCAGAGGCCACGCUUUGAAACUUCUGCUGUGAAUUCUGAACACAAGCGCAAAG